UGAUUUCGCAGUAAAAAUGGCCACAGAGUGUUGUGCGGUCGACUGCACUAACAGACGGGUGAAAACCUGUUAUUUUGUUGUAUAACCUUUGGGAUGGAAAGCUGCUGUCAUUCAUGACUGCCAGCCCUCGGUGUAACCGAGUGAGAAGGUUAACGUUCGUAUACUUUAUAAAUGACGUUAGAGGCUGCACACCUGGAGGAGCGUGCCCGCUGACUCAGUCAGCGCACCUGUGACUCAUCACCCAAUCAUCCUGGAGUUUGAGAGGAGGCGCAGACUGUCAGGACCUUUGCCAGUAAUGGUGAUUCCUCGUGACGCCUUGGAAGUUUCCCUGUGAAAACCCUUGACCUGGCUUUUGGACUUUCCUUCCUCGUGAUGCCGUGGAUAGUUACCCACUGGUUUUCUGAGUCCCUUCUUCAUCUCUGCAGAUUAACCAUAAACCGUUCCUGGAUUACCCAGCUGUCAGUCGGCUCGCUCCUCUGUUCUCCUCCACGCCUGAACUUACCUGUCUAGGUUCACCGCAUUCUCCACGACAUCUACCCAGAACUCACUCAGUCAAGACCUCACUCUGGAACCUGGAUCACCUUAAGAACACACACAAAGAUACCAAAACCACUAACCAACAGCUUUUACUCUUCUGGGUUGAAGGAACCUGUAAAUCAAUGUGCAGACGAACCUGUGUGCCUCCACCAAGGACCAGAGCCUUUCACCAACGUUUUCAUAUUGUUCAAAUAAACUUUAUUUAUCCUAUUACCUGAUCUCCUGGUGGUGUUCCGCAUGUGGGUUAAGAAACUGGAACCCAUCAUGACA